UAGAGUUUGAUCCUGGCUCAGAUUGAACGCUGGCGGCAUGCCUUACACAUGCAAGUCGAACGGUAACAGGUCUUCGGACGCUGACGAGUGGCGAACGGGUGAGUAAUACAUCGGAACGUGCCCAGUCGUGGGGGAUAACUACUCGAAAGAGUAGCUAAUACCGCAUACGAUCUGAGGAUGAAAGCGGGGGACCUUCGGGCCUCGCGCGAUUGGAGCGGCCGAUGGCAGAUUAGGUAGUUGGUGGGAUAAAAGCUUACCAAGCCGACGAUCUGUAGCUGGUCUGAGAGGACGACCAGCCACACUGGGACUGAGACACGGCCCAGACUCCUACGGGAGGCAGCAGUGGGGAAUUUUGGACAAUGGGCGAAAGCCUGAUCCAGCAAUGCCGCGUGCAGGAUGAAGGCCUUCGGGUUGUAAACUGCUUUUGUACGGAACGAAAAAGCUCCUUCUAAUACAGGGGGCCCAUGACGGUACCGUAAGAAUAAGCACCGGCUAACUACGUGCCAGCAGCCGCGGUAAUACGUAGGGUGCGAGCGUUAAUCGGAAUUACUGGGCGUAAAGCGUGCGCAGGCGGUUAUGUAAGACAGAUGUGAAAUCCCCGGGCUCAACCUGGGAACUGGCUUUGGGAAUGGCUGGCUAAAGUUUCGG
rnacentral:rRNA from 1 species